rnacentral:rRNA from 1 species
GACGAACCGUGCGAACGUUGUUCGGAAUCACUGGGCUUAAAGGGCGCGUAGGCGGGUUCGAAAGUCUGUGGUGAAAGCCUCCAGCUCAACUGGAGAAGUGCCAUGGAUACUGCGAACCUGGAGGAGGGUAGGGGCAUCUGGAACGCUGGGUGGAGCGGUGAAAUGCGUUGAUAUCCAGCGGAACUCCGGUGGCGAAGGCGAGGUGCUGGACCCUUUCUGACGCUGAGGCGCGAAAGCCAGGGGAGCAAACGGG